CUACUGGAAACGGUAGCUAAUACCGCAUAACGUCUUCGGACCAAAGUGGGGGACCUUCGGGCCUCACACCAUCGGAUGUGCCCAGAUGGGAUUAGCUAGUAGGUGGGGUAAUGGCUCACCUAGGCGACGAUCCCUAGCUGGUCUGAGAGGAUGACCAGCCACACUGGAACUGAGACACGGUCCAGACUCCUACGGGAGGCAGCAGUGGGGAAUAUUGCACAAUGGGCGCAAGCCUGAUGCAGCCAUGCCGCGUGUAUGAAGAAGGCCUUCGGGUUGUAAAGUACUUUCAGCGGGGAGGAAGGCGAUGGAGUUAAUAGCUUCAUCGAUUGACGUUACCCGCAGAAGAAGCACCGGCUAACUCCGUGCCAGCAGCCGCGGUUAUACGGAGGGUGCAAGCGUUAAUCGGAAUUACUGGGCGUAAAGCGCACGCAGGCGGUCUGUCAAGUCGGAUGUGAAAUCCCCGGGCUUAACCUGGGAACUGCAUUCGAAACUGGCAGGCUAGAGUCUUGUAGAGGGGGGUAGAAUUCCCAGGUGUAGCGGUGAAAUGCGUAGAGAUCUGGAGGAAUACCGGUGGCGAAGGCGGCCCCCUGGACAAAGACUGACGCUCAGGUGCGAAAGCGUGGGGAGCAAACAGGAUUAGAUAACCUGGUAGUUCACGCCGUAAACGAUGUCGACUUGGAGGUUGUGCCCUUGAGGCGUGGCUUCCGGAGCUAACGCGUUWAGUCGACCGCCUGGGGAGUACGGCCGCAAGGUUAAAACUCAAAUGAAUUGACGGGGGCCCGCACAAGCGGUGGAGCAUGUGGUUUAAUUCGAUGCAACGCGAAGAACCUUACCUACUCUUGACAUCCAGAGAAUUCGGCAGAGAUACCUUAGUGCCUUCGGGAACUCUGAGACAGGUGCUACAAAACUGUCGUCAGCUCGUGUUGUGAAAUGUUGGGUUAAGUCCCGCAACGAGCGCAACCCUUAUCCUUUGUUGCCAGCGGUCCGGCCGGGAACUCAAAGGAGACUGCCAGUGAUAAACUGGAGGAAGGUGGGGAUGACGUCAAGUCAUCAUGGCCCUUACGAGUAGGGCUACACACGUGCUACAAUGGCGCAUACAAAGAGAAGCGACCUCGCGAGAGCAAGCGGACCUCAUAAAGUGCGUCGUAGUCCGGAUUGGAGUCUGCAACUCGACUCCAUGAAGUCGGAAUCGCUAGUAAUCGUAGAUC
rnacentral:rRNA from 1 species